AUACAUGCAAGUCGGCGGACAGAAGGGAGCUUGCUCCCGGAUGUUAGCGGCGSGGGUGAGUAACACGUGGGUAACCUGCCUGUAAGACUGGGAUAACUCCGGGAAACCGGAGCUUACCGGAUAGUUCCUUGAACCGCAUGUUCAAGGAUGAAAGACGGUUUCGGCUGUCACUCAGAUGGACCCGCGGCGCAUUAGCUAGUUGGUGAGGUAACGGCUCACCAAGGCGACGAUGCGUAGCCGACCUGAGAGGGUGCGGCCACACUGGGACUGAGAACGGCCCAGACUCCUACGGGAGGCAGCAGUAGGGAAUCUUCCGCAAUGGACGAAAGACGGAGCAACGCCGCGUGAGUGAUGAAGGUUUUCGGAUGUAAAGCUCUGUUGUUAGGGAAGAACAAGUGCAAGAGUAACUGCUUGCACCUUCGGUACCUAACCAGAAAGCCACGGCUAACUACGUGCCAGCCGCGGUAAUACGUAGGUGGCAAGUCCGGAAUUAUUGGGCGUAAAGGCUCGCAGGCGGUUUCUUAAGUCUGAUGUGAAAGCCCCCGGCUCAACCGGGGAGGGUCAUGGAAACUGGGAAACUUGAGUGCAGAAGAGGAGAGUGGAAUUCCACGUGUAGCGGUGAAAUGCGUAGAGAUGUGGAGGAACACCAGUGGCGAAGGCGACUCUCUGGUCUGUAACUGACGCUGAGGAGCGAAAGCGUGAGCGAACAGGAUUAGAUACCCUGGUAGUCCACGCCGUAAACGAUGARUGCUAAGUGUAGGGGGUUUCCGCCCCUUAGUGCUGCUAACGCAUUA
rnacentral:rRNA from 2 species